UUAAAACCCAAAGGACUUGGCGGUGCUUUAGAUCCACCUAGAGGAGCCUGUUCUAGAACCGAUAAUCCCCGUUAAACCUCACCUUUCCUCGUCUAAUCCGCCUAUAUACCGCCGUCGUCAGCUUACCCUGUGAAGGCCCUAAAGUAAGCAAAACCGGCACACCCUAAAACGCCAGGUCGAGGUGUAGCGAAUGGGAGGGGAAGAGAUGGGCUACAUUCAAUAACUUAUAGUGAAAACGAACGGCAUCUUGAAAAAGAUGCCCGAAGGAGGAUUUAGUAGUAAAAGGAGAGUAGAGUGCUCCGCUGAAAUUGGCCCUGAAGCGCGUACACACCGCCCGUCACUCUCCCCGAAAAUUACACAAUAGAUUACUAAUAAACUAAAACCUCAAAGGGGAGGCAAGUCGUAACAUGGUAAGUGUACCGGAAGGUGCGCUUGGCAAAAC
rnacentral:rRNA from 1 species